UGCCAGCAGCCGCGGUAAUACGGAGGGGGCUAACGUUGUUCGGAAUUACUGGGCGUAAAGCGCGCGUAGGCGGAUUAGACAGUUGAGGGUGAAAUCCCAGGGCUCAACCCUGGAACUGCCUUUAAAACUGUUAGUCUUGAGUUCGGAAGAGGUGAGUGGAAUUCCUAGUGUAGAGGUGAAAUUCGUAGAUAUUAGGAAGAACAUCAGUGGCGAAGGCGACUCACUGGUCCGAUACUGACGCUGAGGUGCGAAAGCGUGGGGAGCAAACAGGAUUAGAUA
rnacentral:rRNA from 1 species